rnacentral:rRNA from 1 species
GCCUAAUACAUGCAAGUCGAGCGGACCGACGGGAGCUUGCUCCCUUAGGUCAGCGGCGGACGGGUGAGUAACACGUGGGUAACCUGCCUGUAAGACUGGGAUAACUCCGGGAAACCGGGGCUAAUACCGGAUGCUUGAUUGAACCGCAUGGUUCAAUCAUAAAAGGUGGCUUUCAGCUACCACUUACAGAUGGACCCGCGGCGCAUUAGCUAGUUGGUGAGGUAACGGCUCACCAAGGCGACGAUGCGUAGCCGACCUGAGAGGGUGAUCGGCCACACUGGGACUGAGACACGGCCCAGACUCCUACGGGAGGCAGCAGUAGGGAAUCUUCCGCAAUGGACGAAAGUCUGACGGAGCAACGCCGCGUGAGUGAUGAAGGUUUUCGGAUCGUAAAACUCUGUUGUUAGGGAAGAACAAGUACCGUUCGAAUAGGGCGGCACCUUGACGGUACCUAACCAGAAAGCCACGGCUAACUACGUGCCAGCAGCCGCGGUAAUACGUAGGUGGCAAGCGUUGUCCGGAAUUAUUGGGCGUAAAGCGCGCGCAGGCGGUUUCUUAAGUCUGAUGUGAAAGCCCCCGGCUCAA